rnacentral:rRNA from 1 species
CGAGACGAGAUCGCAUGGUCAUCGUCUGGAAAGAAUUUCGGUCUGGGAUGGACUCGCGGCCUAUCAGCUUGUUGGUGAGGUAAUGGCUCACCAAGGCGACGACGGGUAGCCGGCCUGAGAGGGCGACCGGCCACACUGGAACUGAGACACGGUCCAGACUCCUACGGGAGGCAGCAGUGGGGAAUAUUGCACAAUGGGCGCAAGCCUGAUGCAGCGACGCCGCGUGGGGGAUGAAGGCCUUCGGGUUGUAAACCCCUUUCAGCAGGGAAGAAGCGAAAGUGACGGUACCUGCAGAAGAAGCGCCGGCUAACUACGUGCCAGCAGCCGCGGUAAUACGUAGGGCGCAAGCGUUGUCCGGAAUUAUUGGGUGUAAAGAGCUCGUAGGCGGUCUGUCGCGUCUGCUGUGAAAACCCGAGGCUCAACCUCGGGCCUGCAGUGGGUACGGGCAGACUAGAGUGUGGUAGGGGAGACUGGAAUUCCUGGUGUAGCGGUGGAAUGCGCAGAUAUCAGGAGGAACACCAAUG